GAUGAACGCUGGCGGCGUGCUUAACACAUGCAAGUCGAACGAUGAAGCUCAGCUUGCUGGGUGGAUUAGUGGCGAACGGGUGAGUAACACGUGAGUAACCUGCCCUUAACUCUGGGAUAAGCCUGGGAAACUAGGUCUAAUACCGGAGAGGAGCGCCUACCGCAUGGGGGGUGUUGGAAAGAUUUAGCGGUUUUGGAUGGACUCGCGGCCUAUCAGCUUGUUGGUGAGGUAAUGGCUCACCAAGGCGACGACGGGUAGCCGGCCUGAGAGGGUGACCGGCCACACUGGGACUGAGACACGGCCCAGACUCCUACGGGAGGCAGCAGUGGGGAAUAUUGCACAAUGGGCGAAAGCCUGAUGCAGCGACGCCGCGUGAGGGAUGACGGCCUUCGGGUUGUAAACCUCUUUCAGUAGGGAAGAAGCGAAAGUGACGGUACCUGCAGAAGAAGCACCGGCUAACUACGUG
rnacentral:rRNA from 1 species